UUGUAACGGGAUGUUCAACCAAAACCGGGAAAGGACAAGCAGUAAGUUUUCAUCAUUUGCCGCGGUGUAAACAAUGGCUGCGGGCUAUCAACCACGCAAAGUUCAGAGAAGACAACGAUGCAGUAAAAUUGAAAAACCUGAGGGUUUGCAGUCUCCAUUUCAAGCUGGAAGAUAUCGAACCCAAUGUACUCGGAAUGAAGCGAAACACGCUAAAGGACACUGCGAUUCCGUCUAUAUGUACCUUCACAGACACGACGAACAGCUGGGGCCAUCUGGCAUCAAAUGCAUUCGUCUACGUUAGAGGUUUCCGGAAGAAGAUGCAGAAGAAGGGGAAAAAAGAACAAUGAAAUCCUCCUUGCAUGGACCAGGUCUGACAUAAAUCAUAUGUGGUUUUCCUGUGCAACCAGUAAGGGGGACGUCGAGGAGAAGCAUGGUUGAACCAAAUGUUCUGCAAGAGAUCCAAGCAGUGGGUCUUGAAGAAAAGCUUCAUACCACACACCACACAGUUUGUAGACUAACUCAUCCAGAAGGCCAUUGAUAAGACUCAAUCCAAACAUUGUGUUCAAAGUACCAACGUCCUCACUUGCCCUGCCACAGCCUGCGCUGCCACCCAACAUUGCACCAGUGCCUAAACCAUCAAGGGAGGCUGCCACGACUUCUUUCAAAAGUCGCUUCUGAGACUGACACUUUCUAAUAAUAAUAAUAAUCACCUCUUCCCUGAGUCCUAUUGCUGUAUCUAAUCAGAUUCUGCCGCCACUCUUUAUAUUUAUAUUAUUAUAUACUGUGUGUAUAUAUACACAAUGUUUUUGUAUAUAUUUUUGCUUUGUUUUUAUUUUGUGCAGGACAUUUUUAGAUGUAAAUUAUGUCAUUGUUUAUUUUAAUGUGUUCUUUUCACUGG